rnacentral:lncRNA from 1 species
AUCGCUACAAGCUACUCAUGGACUUCGUCAUUGGGCAUUACUGUGCACCUGAUUAUCAGCUUGAUUUCACCAAACAACAAUAUGACGUCUAAGCAUCCAGGCUAAAAAUAAAGCGUAUGUUCUUUUUAAAACUCAGGUACGGACCUGCGAAUUCGCGGGUAUGCUCUAGUCUCGAUAACGACCUUCAUAACCUAUCAAUAUGUUAAGCUUAUUUUGACUCCUUA